rnacentral:rRNA from 1 species
CUACGGGGUGCAGCAGUCGAGAAUCUUCGGCAAUGGACGAAAGUCUGACCGAGCGACGCCGCGUGCGGGAUGAAGGCCCUCGGGUUGUAAACCGCUGUCAGAGGGGAUGAAAUGCCAUGGGGCUAUCCCCAUGGUUUGACAUAUCCUCAGAGGAAGUACGGGCUAAGUUCGUGCCAGCAGCCGCGGUAAGACGAACCGUACAAACGUUAUUCGGAAUCACUGGGCUUAAAGGGUGCGUAGGCGGCCCGGCAAGUUGGGUGUGAAAUCCCUCGGCUCAACCGAGGAACUGCGCCCAAAACUGCCGGACUCGAGGGAGACAGAGGUGAGCGGAACCUAGGGUGGAGCGGUGAAAUGCGUUGAUAUCCUAGGGAACACCUGUAGCGAAAGCGGCUCACUGGGUCUCUUCUGACGCUGAGGCACGAAAGCUAGGGGAGCGAACGGGAUUAGAUACCCCCGUAGUC